rnacentral:pre_miRNA from 1 species
UUAUUACUCCCUCCGUCCGAAAAUACUUGUCAAAAAAAUAGAUAAAAAUGGAUGUAUCAAGAACUAAAAUACGUCUAGAUACAUCCAUUUCUCCGACAAGUAUUUUCAGACGAAGGGAGUACACA